UGGGUAAUAGUUAAAAAAUAACAUUUAAAUUGCAUUUAAAAAUUAUUUAAAUAAAAUUUACCUUU
rnacentral:tRNA from 1 species